rnacentral:lncRNA from 1 species
UUCCUGGAGAGGGGCCCUGGGCUGGGCUCCACAGCAUCUGGGAAGGCAGAGGGCAUUUCUGGGGGAGAGGGCAUGAGCAAGUACGGGGAGGCUGGAUGGGCACAGCACAGGUGAGGGCAGCAGAGGCAGCACCUGGAGAGAGGGCUUUUGUUGGGGGAACGGUGAGAGAUAAGCUCACCCUAGUCCUGGCUUUGGAGAUGAGAAGAAGAAACAAAAAUGAAGCAAAAUACUUGUCACUGUAGAGGAGCUUACAGUCCAGACGACCUGGGAGAAAUGAAUUUGAAAACAAAGGAAGAUUUAGGAGCUGCGCCUGUCAAUGUCAAGGUCCAGCCUGAGCCAUGGAAAAAGAAUAGAAUUGGAGUAAGCCCUGCUGGAGGGCAGACGUCUUCUUCUCUCUGUACUCCCUGCCCAUCCCAGGAAUCUGGACACUGGCGUACUUCCGUGUUAACAUAACGGCUUUAAAAUUUUUCCCGUUAUGAGCUUUAAAGAAGUAAUUUCCAAAUAUUGGUCUUUGUGGAAAAAAUGAGAAAAGAAUCAAGUUUCCCUGGUCUAAGACUAAAUGUGAAAAGUAAAGAAAAUAUAGCGUCAGGAAGACAGAAGAAGCUGGACAGAAAGAGAUCAAGAUUUAACUGGUUAUGCUGUAGACCAUGGCAGAUCGUAACAGAAGACAAAGCCCUUAAAAGAAAUGAAACUAUCCUCAUUAAAGGCCUGAUGGCUCACACCAUCCAGGAGAUCUCCUCUGCUACCAACUCCCAGCAGCUGAUUCAGCGGUCCUUCAUGAACAAUAGGCAACUGAACAAGAAAAUGAGUUUAUAUUGUUCAAAAGAAAGAAGAAUGCCUCUUUUUUCCCUUGAACAAGGGAGGUGGAGACUAACAAAAGAUUCUUUGCUUGACCAAACUUUAGUCAGGCUUCUAAAUCUUCCCCUCGGCCCGUCUGUGCACUUCCUUGUGAAAUCCAGUUUUAGCAAAGAACAUUUGUAAGUCAGUUUAGCAAGAACCCACCUCCCCACCCCCAUCCUCAAUAUCUGAUCAGGUUGCUCAGUUGCCAUCAUCCCCCAGGUGAUGUCUGAUUACCCUAGCCUGUCUUCAGCAAGAAUUCUGUUAGGUCAGUUCAGCCAGAAUCUCCCUUAACUCUUAUGUUUCCUCUCAGUAAUUUUUUUAUUUUUAUUUUAUUAUUAUUUUUUUGAGACAGAGCCUCCCUCUGUCACCCAGGCUGGAGUGCAGUGGCACGAUCUUGGCUCACUGCAACUUCUGCCUCCUGAGUUCAAGUGAUUCUUGUGCCUCAGCCUCCUAAGUGGCUGGGACCAUAGGUGUGUGUUGCCAUACCCAGCUAAUUUUUUUUUUCCUCAAGACGGAGUCUUGCUCUGUCGCCAAGGCUGGAGUGCAAUGGCGCAAUCUCAGCUCACUGCAACUUCUGCCUCUUGGGUUCAAGCAAUUCUCCUGCCUCAGCCUGCCGAGUAGCUGGGAUUACAGGUGCUCGCCACCACGCCCAUCUAAUUUUUUGUAUUUUUAGUAGAGACUAAAAAUAGUCUCUAGACCAUGUUGGCCAGGCUGGUCUUGAACUCCUGACUUUGUGAUCUGCCCACCUCGGCCUCCCAAAGUGCUAGGAUUACAGGCAUGAGCCACUGUGCCCACCCGGUGCCCAGCUGAUUUUUUAUAUUUUUAGUAGAGACUGGGUUUUGCCAUGUUGCCCAGGCUGGUCUUGAACUCCUGAGCUCAGGGCAAUCUGCCUGCCUCGGCCUCUCAGAGUGCUAGGAUUACAGGUAUGAGCCACCGUGCCCGGCCUUCUUCUUAGUAAUUUUCUAUCCACUGACCCCCACACUCUUCAUGGCUAUAAAUUCCUAUAUAAUUGCAUAAAUUCUACGCAAUCUCUCUCCCCAACUCUGAGACCCCAUUGCAGUGGUACCCUAUAACUAUGUCAAUGGCCCUGAAUAAAGUCUUCCUUACCAUGCUUUAACAAGUA